GGCAGUUCUCGGGUGAUGCACUGCAGAAUCAAGCUCCCUCCUCUCUGGUUCUGGGUGCAUCACCCGAGAACUGCA
rfam:Myotis davidii contig110923, whole genome shotgun sequence.